GAUUGCCUCAGUAACGGCGAGUGAAGCGGCAAAAGCUCAAAUUUGAAAUCUGGCUCUUUCAGGGUCCGAGUUGUAAUUUGUAGAAGAUGUUUCGGGUGUGGUCCCAGUCUAAGUUCCAUGGAACUGGACAUCACAGAGGGUGAGAAUCCCGUAUGUGACUGGGUACCUACGCCCAUGUGAAACUCUUUCGACGAGUCGAGUUGUUUGGGAAUGCAGCUCAAAAUGGGUGGUAAAUUUCAUCUAAAGCUAAAUAUUGGCCAGAGACCGAUAGCGCACAAGUAGAGUGAUCGAAAGAUGAAAAGCACUUUGGAAAGAGAGUUAAACAGUACGUGAAAUUGUUGAAAGGGAAGGGCAUGCAAUCAGACUUGCGCCUAGUUGAUCAUCCGGGCUUCUGCCCGGUGCACUCGAUUAGGCUCAGGCCAGCAUCAGUUUAGAGGGUUGGAUAAAGGCUUUGGGAAUGUGACUCCUCUCGGGGAGUGUUAUAGCCCAAGGUGCAAUGCAGCCACUCUGGACUGAGGACCGCGCUUCGGCUAGGAUGCUGGCGUAAUGGUUGUAUGCCGCCCGUCUUGAAACACGGACCAAGGAGUCUAACAUCUAUGCGAGUAUUUGGGUGUUAAACCCAUAUGCGUAAUGAAAGUGAACGGAGGUGAGAGCCCUUAAGGGUGCAUCAUCGACCGAUCCUGAUGUCUUCGGAUGGAUUUGAGUAAGAGCAUAGCUGUUGGGACCCGAAAGAUGGUGAACUAUGCGUGAAUAGGGUGAAGCCAGAGGAAACUCUGGUGGAGGCUCGCAGCGGUUCUGACGUGCAAAUCGAUCGUCAAAUUUGCGUAU
rnacentral:rRNA from 1 species